rnacentral:ncRNA from 1 species
AUAAGAAUUGCAUGGAUUAACUAUGAUUUAAACAAAUAUUGCGGUACAUAUAACCGUUAUUUUUGUUUAAAUUGUGUGUCCUUACAACCUAUAAAUUUAAUUUUUUCUAUUUAUAUAGAAUCCAAGGUGUAUUGCCACUUUCAAGCUAUUUAGGCGGGGUCGAACCCGUC